UUCCGGUUGAUCCUGCCGGACCUGACUGCUAUCGGAUUGAUACUAAGCCAUGCGAGUCAUUGUAGCAAUACAAGGCAUACGGCUCAGUAACGCGUAGUCAACCUACCCUAUGGACGGAAAUAACCUCGGGAAACUGAGAAUAAUAUCCGAUAGAACAUUAUGCCUGGAAUGGUUUAUGUUCCAAAUGAUUUAUCGCCGUAGGAUGGGACUGCGGCCUAUCAGUUUGUUGGUGAGGUAAUGGCCCACCAAGACUAUUACAGGUACGGGCUCUGAGAGGAGUAGCCCGGAGAUGGGUACUGAGACACGGACCCAGGCCCUAUGGGGCGCAGCAGGCGAGAAAACUUUGCAAUGUGCGAAAGCACGACAAGGUUAAUCCGAGUGAUUUCUGCUAAAGAAAUCUUUUGUUAGUCCUAGAAACACUAACGAAUAAGGGGUGGGCAAGUUCUGGUGUCAGCCGCCGCGGUAAAACCAGCACCUCAAGUGGUCAGGAUGAUUAUUGGGCCUAAAGCAUCCGUAGCCGGCUCUGUAAGUCAUCGGUUAAAUCUGUACGCUUAACGUACAGGCUGCCGGGAAUACUGCAUAGCUAGGGAGUGGGAGAGGUAGACGGUACUCGGUAGGAAGGGGUAAAAUCCUUUGAUCUAUUGAUGACCACCUGUGGCGAAGGCGGUCUACCAGAACACGUCCGACGGUGAGGGAUGAAAGCUGGGGGAGCAAACCGGAUUAGAUACCCGGGUAGUCCCAGCUGUAAACUAUGCAAACUCAGUGAUGCAUUGGCUUGUGGCCAAUGCAGUGCUGCAGGGAAGCCGUUAAGUUUGCCGCCUGGGAAGUACGUACGCAAGUAUGAAACUUAAAGGAAUUGGCGGGGGAGCACCACAA
rnacentral:rRNA from 2 species